rnacentral:rRNA from 1 species
UGAACGCUGACAGAAUGCUUAACACAUGCAAGUCAACUUGAAUUUGGGUUUUUAACUUCGGUUUGGGUGGCGGACGGGUGAGUAACGCGUAAAGAACUUGCCUCACAGCUAGGGACAACAUUUGGAAACGAAUGCUAAUACCUAAUAUUAUGAUAAUAGGGCAUCCUAUAAUUAUGAAAGCUAUAAGCGCUGUGAGAGAGCUUUGCGUCCCAUUAGCUAGUUGGAGAGGUAACGGCUCACCAAGGCGAUGAUGGGUAGCCGGCCUGAGAGGGUGAUCGGCCACAAGGGGACUGAGACACGGCCCUUACUCCUACGGGAGGCAGCAGUGGGGAAUAUUGGACAAUGGACCGAGAGUCUGAUCCAGCAAUUCUGUGUGCACGAUGAAGUUUUUCGGAAUGUAAAGUGCUUUCAGUUGGGAAGAAACAAAUGACGGUACCAACAGAAGAAGUGACGGCUAAAUACGUG